rnacentral:rRNA from 1 species
CCAAUGCCCUUCGGGCUCCUUGGUGAUUCAUGAUAACUUAACGAAUCGCAUGGCCUUGCGCCGGCGAUGGUUCAUUCAAAUUUCUGCCCUAUCAACUUUCGAUGGUAGGAUAGUGGCCUACCAUGGUAUCAACGGGUAACGGGGAAUUAGGGUUCUAUUCCGGAGAGGGAGCCUGAGAAACGGCUACCACAUCCAAGGAAGGCAGCAGGCGCGCAAAUUACCCAAUCCCGACACGGGGAGGUAGUGACAAUAAAUACUGAUACAGGGCUCUUUUGGGUCUUGUAAUUGGAAUGAGUACAAUUUAAAUACCUUAACGAGGAACAAUUGGAGGGCAAGUCUGGUGCCAGCAGCCGCGGUAAUUCCAGCUCCAAUAGCGUAUAUUAAAGUUGUUGCAGUUAAAAAGCUCGUAGUUGAACCUUGGGCCUGGCUGGCCGGUCCGCCUCACCGCGUGUACUGGUCCGGCCGGGCCUUUCCUUCUGGGGAUCCUCAUGCCCUUCACUGGGUGUGCUGGGGAACCAGGACUUUUACUUUGAAAAAAUUAGAGUGUUCAAAGCAGGCCUUUGCUCGAAUACAUUAGCAUGGAAUAAUAGAAUAGGACGUGCGGUCCUAUUUUGUUGGUUUCUAGGACCGCCGUAAUGAUUAAUAGGGAUAGUCGGGGGCAUCAGUAUUCAAUUGUCAGAGGUGAAAUUCUUGGAUUUAUUGAAGACUAACUACUGCGAAAGCAUUUGCCAAGGAUGUUUUCAUUAAUCAGUGAACGAAAGUUAGGGGAUCGAAGACGAUCAGAUACCGUCGUAGUCUUAACCGUAAACUAUGCCGACUAGGGAUCGGGCGAUGUUAUUCUUUUGACUCGCUCGGCACCUUACGAGAAAUCAAA